UACGUAGGGGGCGAGCGUUAUCCGGAUUUACUGGGUGUAAAGGGAGCGCAGGCGGCGUGGCAAGUCAGAUGUGAAAACCCGGGGCCCAACCCCGGGACUGCAUUUGAAACUGCCAUGCUGGAGUGCUGGAGAGGCAAGUGGAAUUCCUAGUGUAGCGGUGAAAUGCGUAGAUAUUAGGAGGAACACCAGUGGCGGAGGCGGCUUGCUGGACAGUAACUGACGCUGAGGCUCGAAAGCGUGGGGAGCAAACAGG
rnacentral:rRNA from 1 species